rnacentral:misc_RNA from 1 species
AGACAAGUUGUCAAUGUAAAAAGAAGAUAUGUAAAAGUCUUGGCCCUUAUAGUUCAAAUGAUCUCACUUGACCAUUGAUCGCAAGCAUACAAAUAUUUAGAAAAAAAGUGGGAAUGAGCAAUUCAAAUCAUACCUCGAAGUGGCAAUAUAAGGUAGCAACGCAUAAUGAUGCAGAUAUAUUUCUUUUAUCUAUCCGUGUCUUAUCAACAACCAGAGGGAGAG